GACGAACGCUGGCGGCGUGCUUAACACAUGCAAGUCGAACGGAAAGGCCCCCUUGUGGGGUACUCGAGUGGCGAACGGGUGAGUAACACGUGAGUAACCUACCCUUGACUUUGGGAUAACUUCAGGAAACUGGGGCUAAUACCGGAUAGGAGCUCCUGCUGCAUAGUGGGGGUUGGAAAGUUUCGGCGGUUGGGGAUGGGCUCGCGGCUUAUCAGCUUGUUGGUGGGGUAGUGGCUCACCAAGGCUUUGACGGGUAACCGGCCUGAGAGGGUGACCGGCCACAUUGGGACUGAGAUACGGCCCAGACUCCUACGGGAGGCAGCAGUGGGGAAUAUUGCACAAUGGGCGGAAGCCUGAUGCAGCAACGCCGCGUGCGGGAUGACGGCCUUCGGGUUGUAAACCGCUUUCGCCUGUGACGAAGCGUGAGUGACGGUAAUGGGUAAAGAAGCACCGGCUAACUACGUG
rnacentral:rRNA from 1 species